CAAGAGGCAGCUGAACAGUAAAGGAGAAAAUUCUGGAGACAGAAACAAGUAGAGAUAGGGAAGGUCAGAAGGAACUUUGCAGCUAAGAGGAGGAAAGACAGCUGCAUUGUAAGACCAUCUUUAGAAAAGCAGAAAAUCGUCAGGAAACCUGGAUGUUUACAGCCUUGACUUCAGUUUGAACAAAAACUGGAAAGCAUGAGUCUGCUUGCUGGUGAGGAAAAAUAAGACUCUUGUAAGCCUUUUUACGAUUACGUACAGCAGGCAGAAAACCUGAAUGUGCAACGUUAGAAUAGAAAAUGAAGAGAUUGAAAGAAUAAAACUACUAAAAUGUCAAACUCACAAGGACCUACUGAAAUUCAGGACAAAAUCCAGUUUCAGGAGGUGGGAGGAGUGCCAAGAAGUACAGCAGCAGGUGCUGAGGUCUGCGUGGGGCCCCCGAGCAGCCCCUGCCUCUGCAGGGCGGCUGGAGGCUGCGCUGCUUUCCCCUGCGGCAGCUGCGUCACGGCUGGGUCCGAGGUGUAUGAACGGGCUGGUGGAAAGUAAUCCGUUUGGAAGGACCUGUCGCUACGGAUUUUAGAAAGGCUACAGUUUGAGGACUACUUUAAUGGAACUGCAGCCUUAGUUCUCUGGUGUCCUCUUUUCAGAAGAACACGUAUAAAUUUAUGCACAGACAAUCCAAAAUGCAUGUGAGAGCUGUGAUUGCUCAGGAUUAUUCUGUAUAUACUAUGGCUGGAAGCAAGACCUGUUCCUGAGGAAGUGUUUUAUUCAGGAAACUUUGCACAACUUGAGCUUUUUCCAGGUAUUUCAUUUUUUUGGUAAAAAUCAUCAGUUCUCUACAGAAAAUCCCAGUGAGCUGGGCAUGCCAGGAAAUGGAUGACCCUGAUGCUGUCAGGCCUGUAAUGGACACCAGUACCAUGAUACUUGGAUGCUCAACUGCUCCAUCUCAGAUGUUUCCCCAUCCACAAAGGAAAAGCAUCUCCCUUCCUGAUUCUUCUGGCCAUGGGAGCAGGUCUGGC